UACGUAGGGGGCAAGCGUUGUCCGGAAUCAUUGGGCGUAAAGCGCGUGUAGGCGGUCCGGUAAGUCGGCUGUGAAAGUCCAGGGCUCAACCCUGGGAUGUCGGUCGAUACUGCCGGACUAGAGUUCGGAAGAGGCGAGUGGAAUUCCCGGUGUAGCGGUGAAAUGCGCAGAUAUCGGGAGGAACACCAAUGGCGAAGGCAGCUCGCUGGGACGUUACUGACGCUGAGACGCGAAAGCGUGGGGAGCAAACAGG
rnacentral:rRNA from 1 species